GUUAACGAAAUCUUGAUCUGGCGGGAAACAGCAAUUUUAACGAAACGGUAACCAACAAUGCAAAAGUCCAUAAAAUCAUUUUUCUCAUCUCCAAAGCCCAAGAAAGAUGAAACACCUACUAGCAAAAAUGCUAUUGAAGAUGAAGUUAAGGACGAGCGAUCUCCCCUGAAACAAAAUAAUGGAUCCCCAACAAAGGACUCGCCUGUAAAGGCGACGAGAAAGGGAAGGAGAUGUCGGGUUAUUGAGAGUGAUGACGAGGAGGAGGGAACUAAGGAAACACAACAGGAGAACCAGUCAAACAGUACUGACCCGGUCAAGGUUAAUGGUGUUGAAGACAAGAAGACAAAGAGUGAUGAAGUUGAGAUGAUUGAAUCACCGGCAAAGUCUCCAUUUGGACUUCCAAUCAGAAAAACAGCCCGGAAAAGUAUGACAACCCCCAAUAACAAGAAGAAGAGUCUGUCCUUUAGUCCUCAGAGUGAAUCGCCGGCCAAGAAAAUCAAGCUGGAGAAGGAGGAGGAGCCAGUAUCCAAUGAAAAGUCAAAUAAAAAUACAGAGGCUGAUGAGGAGAAAGUUGAGGUCAAGAGGGAAACUGUGGAGGAAGACAUGGAGAUGGACGAGGCAAAGGAAACUAAAACAACACCAAAGUCAACUAAAAAAUCAGCAAAGAACCAGAAAAAGAAAAAGGAAGAGAAAUCUCCGAGUACAAAACAAAAUAAUGCUUCUGAAGAAAAGAAAAGUUCAAAGACCACAAAAGAUACUGCAGAAAAGAAACCACAGAAAACUUUUCACAGUUUUUUUGCACCAAAAACUGAACCAAAAGUGGAAGAUACAUCAAGUGAAGAUAAAAAAUCCAGUGAUGAUAAGAGUGUAAAGAAGGCUUGUUUGUCAGAGAAGAAAGAGCAUGGAGGAUAUGAUCCAGCCAAAUCAAACUACCAUCCCAUCGAAGAUGCUGUCUGGACACGAAAUGAAAAAGUUCCCUAUCUGGCUCUAGCCAAGACUUUUGAAGCAAUUGAGAACAUUUCUGGAAGACUGAAAACAAUAGAGAUCCUCAGCAACUUCUUUCGGUCGGUGAUAGCUCUGAGCUCCAGUGAUCUUGUUCAGUGUGUGUACAUGUGUCUGAACAAGUUAGCCCCGGCGUACGAAGGUCUGGAGCUGGGAAUAGGGGAGACAGUUCUGAUGAAGGCCAUUGCCCAAGCAACAGGUCGAGGAAUUGACAAAAUUAAAGCUGAUGCUCAGGAGAAAGGGGACCUAGGACUAGUGGCUGAGACGAGUAGGAGUUCCCAGAGAACGAUGUUUGCUCCUCCAAAGUUGACCGUACCAGCAGUGUUUAAUAAGCUCAAAGAGAUAGCAGGCAUGUCAGGCAAUGCGGCCAUGACAAAGAAGAUAGAAAAGAUUAAGGGUAUGUUUGUGGCAUGCCGACAGUGUGAGGCACGGUACCUGAUCCGCUCGCUGGGCGGGAAGCUCCGGAUCGGCCUUGCGGAGCAGAGUGUGCUGACCGCCCUGGGAAAUGCUGUGUUCAGGACACCUCCAGGUCAAGAAUUUCCUCCGGAAGUAUUGGAUGCUGGUAAAGGUAUGGGAGCUGAUACCUUGAAAAAGAAAAUGGAGGAAUGUACUCUUGUAAUCAAGACAACCUACUGUGAGUGUCCAAAUUAUGAUGCCAUCAUCCCAGCUUUGAUAAAGUACGGCAUUGAGGAGCUACCAAACCAUUGUAAACUUACCCCGGGUGAGAUUUGAAAUUAUCAUGUAAAUUGUAAAGGCCAAGUAGAGGUUGUUGAUAAUUUAUUGAUGACAAGUUUGGUUUUUUCUUCACAUUUGGAACAUUUAGGUUGACAAUUUACUUUGAGGGUGCAUCUACAGUUAUAAUCAUGAGAAUCAUUCUACUGUAAAAACAGUGCUAUUAUAUUACUAUAUUUACAGUGUAUUCUACUGUUAUGAUGAAUUACUAGUAUAUUCUACAUUAAUAUGUACGAUGAUAUUUAUUUACACUGAAAGGCGUUCCACUCAAACCCAUGUUAGCACAUCCUACCAAAGGAGUAAGUGAAGUUUUCAAACGUUUUGACGAGGCAGACUUCACAUGUGAAUAUAAAUAUGACGGAGAGAGAGCACAGAUUCACAUUCUGGAGAAUGGAGAGGUCCACAUAUACAGCAGGAACUCUGAGAACAACACAAGCAAGUACCCAGACAUCAUCGCCAGGAUCCCCAAGGUACGAAACGACUCGGUCACAUCCUGUGUCAUCGACUCGGAGGCUGUUGCCUGGGACGCAGAGAAGAAACAGAUCCAGCCAUUCCAAGUUCUUAGCCACAGGAAGAGGAAGGAUGCUGAUGCCUCAGAAAUUAAGAUCCAAGUGUGUGUGUAUGCCUUUGACCUGCUGUAUCUCAAUGGAAAGUCCCUGGUGAAGGAGCCAUUCAGGAAGAGGAGAGAACUCCUGCACUCUUCAUUCAAAGAAGUGGAGGGAGAGUUUGUAUUUGCCAAGUCCAUGAUUUCAUCAAACACUGACGAGAUCGCAGAGUUUCUUGAUGAAUCUGUUAAAGGAAACUGUGAAGGUCUCAUGGUGAAAACUCUGGAUGUGGAUGCCACCUAUGAAAUUGCCAAAAGAUCUCACAACUGGCUCAAGCUGAAGAAGGACUACUUGGACGGGGUUGGGGACACCCUAGACCUGGUGGUGAUGGGGGGAUUUCUGGGGACAGGAAAGAGGACCGGCAAAUACGGGGGAUUCCUACUGGGCUGCUACGACGAAGAAAAUGAAGAGUUUCAAUCCAUAUGCAAGAUUGGAACAGGAUUUACUGAUGCUGAUUUAGAAAAACAUGCCACAUUUUUCAAGGACCAUGUCACAGAAAAGCCCAAACCAUAUUAUCGCUACGAUUCCUCUGUAGAACCAGACCACUGGUUUGAUGCAGUGCAGGUUUGGGAGGUCAAGUGUGCUGACCUCUCUAUAUCUCCCACACAUCUCGCCGCUGCAGGAAUCGUUGAUCCAGAGAAAGGUAUAUCCUUGAGGUUUCCUCGGUUCCUGAGAAUUAGAGAUGACAAGAAAGCGGAGGAUGCCACUUCAGCCUCCCAGGUGGCAGAACUCUACAAAAGCCAACAACAAAUUCAAAAUCAACAAAAAUCUGAAAAGGAGGACGUUGAAGACUUUUAUUGAAGAUACAUUUACAUUUAAUUUAUAGUAUGAAUUGUAAAUUAUUAUACAAAUACAUUUUUACAUCAGG
rnacentral:misc_RNA from 1 species